ensembl:lncRNA
GUCCAAAUCAUUUGACUGAAACCUUUUCACCGACGGCGGUGAAGGAGCCGAGAUGCUAUCGGCGCUCGCUCGUUAUUAUCCGUCUGCCACAGCUGCCGACGUCCAGAGGAUUUUCAAAAGAUUGCCGAGCACACCUCGCCUGACUGUCCAAGGUAAUGCCAAACCUCAUUCAGUAUACUACUGCUCAAAUCUGGAUGCGUCCCGUAAUUAACGGUGCAAUUUGUUUCGCUCAUUAGGAAUUCUACUGCACUGUGAAACCGGAUAAGUUCAUUUAA